AUCUUUAUUAAACCAAACAUUUCUUCUCUCUCUUAAUUCUAAAAAAAAAAACGCACGCUGCAUCUCCCUCCUUCUCACAACAGCGCUCGGCUCUCUGUCUCUCAAUCAAGAAAGGAAUCGCUGCUCACAUCUCUCUCUAUCUCGCUCGAUCUCCUCCGGCCGCUGCUGCUCUGCUCUGGGCCGCGACCAGCGGCGCUUGGCCUUCGGCCGCGCCGCCCCGCUCAGCCGCCUCCCUUCUGAAGCUGUUGCCGCUCCGCCUGAAGUCGACGAGUCAGCCGUCGCCGAGUCUCCCCUUUGCGGCAGAUCCGCUGCCGCGGUUCCCUUUCCGGCGAAACCGGCAUCAAGUCGUUGGAGUACCGGCGAGGCCGCAACCGGCCACUGGCGCUGCUCCCUUCGUCUCUGACUUCCUCUCUUUCUCCAUCCUUUCCUCUCUAUCUCUGAUCGUGCUCUCUCCUCUCAAAUUGCAUGACCUCAGCCGUGCAUCCUCCUCAACAGGCUCUGCCAUGGCCGAGUCCGGUGAGGUUGGCGUCGGCAUCAGACCUUGCCCAAAACUCUCAUCUUCCGUGUUUCUUCUCUGAAAUUUCAACUCCAGAUUAUACCCCCAAUCGAACCCUAAUUCUUUCAUCAUGGACUACCACCGCUGCUGUCCUCUUCGGUGUAGACGGGCUCGAUGCCUCAUCGCGCCGUUGUUAUAGUCAGAUUCCAGCGAGGCAGCAAGGGAUCGCCGCCGUCAUUCCCUCGGCUCGACUGAACAGGCUGAACUCAAGAAGAAAAUGGAGAAGUUUAAGUUGAGCUUACCUCUUGGGGUCCACAUUGCAGCUGAAAUAAACUCUCUAUGAUUUUUGGUGCAUAAAGGAAGGAGGGGGAAUCGUAGUUGGUGAUUUUCAGGCUACUAUGAAGCCCUCAAUUUAUAGGCAGAUUAGGCCGCAAAACUUGAAAACUAUUUACAGCAAAUGUGGAAAUUUUGCUGCAACUUUUGACAAAAAUGAAAUUGGUUGGUGGCUGCCAUAAUUUUUUUUUUUACUAAUAGUGAAAUUUCAUGUGAGACUUUGAAAAGUGGAGUACUCAUAGGGUGCGUCUGAUCCUAGUUGUAUCUUAGCAUGCUUCAAAUAUUAAAUUGUGACUUUUGCAGGGAAAAGAGUAUGACCUUAGCAGAGUUAAAGAAAAGGGGCUGCUAUGCGUGUACUAUCUAUAUUUUAUUUCUUGAUUUUGUAUACUCUAUUGAUAGUGUAGGAGCGUAGGGAGUGUGAAAGAAAAAUGAUGAUUGUAAGUAAAUAGAAUUGAGGUGACUAAUAAAAAUCUCUUGCCUUGAUUAAUUAAUCAAGUAUUUGUAAAACAAA